rnacentral:rRNA from 1 species
UUUAUGGAGAGUUUGAUCCUGGCUCAGGAUGAACGCUGGCGGCGUGCCUAAUACAUGCAAGUCGAGCGAACGGACGAGAACCUUGCUUCUCUGAUGUUAGCGGCGGACGGGUGAGUAACACGUGGAUAACCUACCUAUAAGACUGGGAUAACUUCGCGAAACCGGAGCUAAUACCGGAUAAUAUUUUGAACCGCAUGGUUCAAAAGUGAAAGACGGUCUUGCUGUCACUUGUAGAUGGAUCCGCGCUGCAUUAGCUAGUUGGUAAGGUAACGGCUUACCAAGGCAACGAUGCAUAGCCGACCUGAGAGGGUGAUCGGCCACACUGGAACUGAGACACGGUCCAGACUCCUACGGGAGGCAGCAGUAGGGAAUCUUCCGCAAUGGGCGAAAGCCUGACGGAGCAACGCCGCGUGAGUGAUGAAGGUCUUCGGAUCGUAAAACUCUGUUAUUAGGGAAGAACAUAUGUGUAAGUAACUG